AAAUGACAUGCAUACAAAUGUGCAGUGCUGUACCAGAAGUCAGGGCUUGAAAUUGAUGUCUGCCAAAUGUAGAAAAAAAUGUAGUAAUUUAAAUGCAAGUCAAGAAUCGAGAUUCAGUCCUUCAUAACCAUUUCAACGUAAAACCUCUGGCUAUUACAUAACGUCACUGCGAGAUAAAACAAGUGGUAAAAAUGACUUAAGUCACGUUCCUUGUUUUAGACCCUUCUCUAAACUGCCCUUCUCUAAACUGCUCUGGUAGACUACUGUGGCACACAAAAUGGCUGACUAAAAGGAGACCAGACCAGACCGGCUUCUUCAAAUAGGAAAUAAAUACUGUUGUCAGGGAGGUGCAGAGACUGCAAAGAGGAAAUAAAUCACUGCACAAGUAUGCUGUCAGAGGCAGAUGAUGUCAACUUUGUAAGUUGUAUUUAUGUUUGUAGUGGUAAUAAAAAUCCAGUCAUCAAUUUCUUCCAUGCGUAGCGAUGAGCAUUUUAUUUUCAAAUACAAUGAUUUGCACUGUUUCUUCAGUCAUGUGUGGAGUUACUGAAAGGGUUGCACAAUACAUUUUCGUAAAAAUGCAGGUCAAGCAUAAGUGAUUAAUGGGGCAUUUAAUGACUGUUGGGUACAAUUACACACCAUUUUGUAUACCAAACUAAUUGAUAUCAAAUUGUUAUUUGGUAUCAAUUGCAGUGUGUGGAUACUGGUGAAAACAUACUGACAAAUAGAGAGAGAGAGAGAGAGAGGUGUGUGAAGCUGACGGCCUUAAUUAGCUUUGUAGCAACUCAUUUGGCAAUGGCUUAAAUGUAACGGACGCUCAUUAAUAUCAAAAAGAUACACACUAAAGGCUAUAAAUGGAUACAUUUGAUGAAUAGCAUUUUGGCUAGUGAAAAUUCAAAGUGGUUGUUGAUUUU